UACGUAGGAGACGAGCGUUGUCCGGAGUUACUGGGCGUAAAGCGUGCGUAGGCGGUUGGGUAAGUCGGAUGUGAAAGCCCUGGGCUUAACCUGGGAAUGCCAUUCGAUACUGCCCGACUCGAGUUCGGUAGAGGGCGGUGGAACUCCAGGUGUAGCGGUGAAAUGCGUAGAUAUCUGGAAGAACACCAAUGGCGAAGGCAACCGCCUGGGCCUGAACUGACGCUGAGGCACGAAAGCUAGGGGAGCAAACGGG
rnacentral:rRNA from 1 species